rnacentral:rRNA from 1 species
AAACAUCGCCUCCCGCGAAAUAUCUAUGUAUAGGAGGUCUCGCCUGCCCAGUGACAACCCGUUAAACGGCCGCGGUAUUUUGACCGUGCUAAGGUAGCGUAAUCAUUUGUCUUUUAAAUGAAGACCUGUAUGAAUGGUAGAACGAGGGCUUUACUGUCUCCCUUUUCCAGUCAAUGAAAUUGAUCUGCCCGUGCAGAAGCGGACAUAAUAAUAUAAGACGAGAAGACCCUAUGGAGCUUAAAACAUAAGAUUAAAUAAAUUAAGACCUACAAAAUAGUAUAAAUAACUUAUCAACUAAUUAAUGUUUUCAGUUGGGGCAACUAUGGGGGAAAGAAAAGCCCCCAUGCGGAAUGGGAUUUUCCUAAAACCAAGAGAUACAUCUCUAAGUCACAAUUAAAUAUGACCUAAAGAUCCGGCUAAGGCCGAUCAACGAACCAAGUUACCCUAGGGAUAACAGCGCAAUCCCCUUCUAGAGGCCUUAUCGACAAGGGGGUUUACGACCUCGAUGUUGGAUCAGGACAUCCUAAUGGUGCAACCACUAUAAGGGUUCGUUUGUUCAACGAU